rnacentral:rRNA from 1 species
GACGAACGCUGGCGGCGUGCUUAACACAUGCAAGUCGAACGCUUCUUCCCUCCCGUUUUCUUGCACUCAAUUGGAAAGCGGAGGGGCGGACGGGUGAGUAACACGCCUGUAACCUACCCAUCAGUGAGGGAAAACACUUGGAAACAGGAGCUAAUACCCUAUAACAGUUUAUGCCUCAUGGCAUAAGAGUGAUUGGCGCUUUCGGGUGUCGUUGAUGGAUGGAUCCGCGGUGCGUUAGCUAGUUGGUGAGGUAACGGCUCACCAAGGCGACGAUGCAUAGGCGACGUGAGUGGGUGAUCGGCGGCACUGGAGGUGAGACGCGGCCCAGACGACUGCGGGAGGCAGCAGAAGGGAAUCUUAGGCAAUAGUCGAAAGUAUGACAGAGCAACGCCGCGUGGGUGGAGACGGUGUCCGGAGCGUGAAGCUCUGUUGUUGGUGAUGAACAAGGACGUCAGUGGCUGAACGUCGCCUGACGGUAUCUGGCCAAGAAGCCACGGCUAACUACGUG